UACAGAGGGUGCAAGCGUUAAUCGGAAUUACUGGGCGUAAAGCGUGCGUAGACGGUUAUUUAAGUCAGGUGUGAAAGCCCCGGGCUCAACCUGGGAAUUGCAUUUGAGACUGAAUAGCUAGGGUGCGGAAGAGGGAAGCGGAAUUUCCGGUGUAGCGGUGAAAUGCGUAGAUAUCGUGAGGAAGACCAGUUGCGAAGGCGGAUCUCUGGGCAGUUCCUGACACUGAGGCACGAAGGCCAGGGGAGCAAACGGG
rnacentral:rRNA from 1 species